rfam:Aliifodinibius roseus strain DSM 21986 genome assembly, contig: Ga0134108_101
GGAGGGAUGGCAGAGUGGUCGAAUGCGGCGGUCUUGAAAACCGUUGAGGCCUUAUGGUCUCCGGGGGUUCGAAUCCCUCUCCCUCCG